rnacentral:rRNA from 1 species
AGCAUAUCAAUAAGCGGAGGAAAAGAAACCAACAGGGAUUACCUCAGUAACGGCGAGUGAAGCGGUAAAAGCUCAAAUUUGAAAUCUGGCUCUUUUAGAGUCCGAAUUGUAAUUUGUAGAAGAUGCUUCGGGUGUGGUUCCGGUCUAAGUUCCUUGGAACAGGACGUCAUAGAGGGUGAGAAUCCCGUAUGUGACUGGAUACCUAUGCUCAUGUGAAGCUCUUUCGACGAGUCGAGUUGUUUGGGAAUGCAGCUCAAAAUGGGAGGUAUAUUUCUUCUAAAGCUAAAUAUUGGCCAGAGACCGAUAGCGCACAAGUAGAGUGAUCGAAAGAUGAAAAGCACUUUGGAAAGAGAGUUAAACAGUACGUGAAAUUGUUGAAAGGGAAGCGCUUGCAAUCAGACUUGCACUUGGUGUUCAUCAGGGUCUCGUACCCUGUGUACUUCAUCAAGUUCAGGCCAGCAUCAGUUUGAGUGGUUAGAUAAAGGCUUAGAGAAUGUGGCCCUCUUCGGGGGGUGUUAUAGCUCUAGGUGCAAUGUAGCCUACUUGGACUGAGGACCGCGCUUCGGCUAGGAUGCUGGCGUAAUGGUUGUAAGCGACCCGUCUUGAAACACGGACCAAGGAGUGUACCUAAUAUGCGAGUGUUUGGGUGUUAAACCCAUACGCGUAAUGAAAGUGAACGCUGGUGAGAACCCUUAAGGGUGCAUCAUCGACCGAUCUUGAUGUCUUCGGAUGGAUUUGAGUAAGAGCAUAUUGGGUGCGACCCGAAAGAUGGUGAUCUAUACGUGAAUAGGGUGAAGCCAGAGGAAACUCUGGUGGAGGCUCGCAGCGGUUCUGACGUGCAAAUCGAUCGUCAAAUUUGCGUAUAGGGGCGA